rnacentral:sRNA from 1 species
GCGGAGGAAAAGAAACCAACAGGGAUUGCCCUAGUAACGGCGAGUGAAGCGGCAACAGCUCAAAUUUGAAAUCUGGCUCUUUCAGAGUCCGAGUUGUAAUUUGCAGAGGGCGCUUUGGCGUUGGCAGCGGUCCAAGUUCUUUGGAACAGGACGUCACAGAGGGUGAGAAUCCCGUACGUGGUCGCUAGCCAUCACCGUGUAAAGCCCCUUCGACGAGUCGAGUUGUUUGGGAAUGCAGCUCUAAAUGGGAGGUAAAUUUCUUCUAAAGCUAAAUACUGGCCAGAGACCGAUAGCGCACAAGUAGAGUGAUCGAAAGAUGAAAAGCACUUUGGAAAGAGAGUCAAAUAGCACGUGAAAUUGUUGAAAGGGAAGCGCUUGCAGCCAGACUUGCCUGUAGUUGCUUACCUAGACUUUUGUCUGGGGCACUCUUCUGCAGGCAGGCCAGCAUCAGUUUGGGCGGUUGGAUAAAGGUCUCUGUCACGUACCUCCCUUCGGGGAGGCCUUAUAGGGGAGACGUAAUGCAACCAGCCUGGACUGAGGUCCGCGCAUCUGCUAGGAUGCUGGCGUAAUGGCUGUAAGCGGCCCGUCUUGAAACACGGACCAAGGAGUCUAACAUCUAUGCGAGUGUUUGGGUGUCAAGCCCAUACGCGUAAUGAAAGUGAACGGAGGUGGGAACCUUAGGGUGCACCAUCGACCGAUCCUGAUGUCUUCGGAUGGAUUUGAGUAAGAGCAUGGCUGUUGGGACCCGAAAGAUGGUGAACUAUGCUUGAAUAGGGUGAAGCCAGAGGAAACUCUGGUGGAGGCUCGCAGCGGUUCUGACGUGCAAAUCGAUCGUCAAAUUUGGGCAUAGGGGCGAAAGACUAAUCGAACUAUCUAGUAGCUGGUUCCUGCCGA